UACGUAGGGGGCUAGCGUUGUCUGGAUUUAUUGGGCGUAAAGAGCGUGUAGGCGGCCAGAUAGGUCUGCUGUGAAAACUCGAGGCUCAACCUCGAGAUGUCGGCGGAAACCAUUUGGCUAGAGUCCGGAAGAGGAAAGUGGAAUUCCUGGUGUAGCGGUGAAAUGCGCAGAUAUCAGGAAGAACACCCGUGGCGAAGGCGGCUUUCUGGGACGGUACUGACGCUGAGACGCGAAAGCGUGGGGAGCGAACAGG
rnacentral:rRNA from 1 species